GGGACUGAUAAACACUUUGGCUGGGGUGGUCGAGUCUAAGGUCUGCGCAGAAAAUAAGAGCUCUCAAUGAAAAAGAUAACAUGGGCGAAGAUGGUCGUUGGGCUGUGAUGCACCAUCAAUAACUCUGAGACGUGGGUUAAGAUAGUCUAAUUGGAUUGAAAUCAGAAGCAGAAAAAGGGGGCCACCAAGAGACCUAUGACAACUCUGGAGGAUUUACAAGCUUCAGUGACAGAGUUGGGAGAGACUACACAUACAACAACUGUUGCCCGGGUGCUUCACCAGCCGCAGCUUUGUGGGAGAGUGGCAAACUGUUGAAAAAAAAACUCUCAUGAGAUCUCGGCUGGAGUUUGCCAGAAGGCAUGUGGGAAACCCUGAAUUCAGCUGGAAGAAGGUUGUAUGGUCUGAUUAAAUAAACAUUGAGCUUUUCGGCCAUCAGACUAAAUGCUAUAUUUGGUACUGUGAAGCAUGGUGCUGGCUGCAUCAUUCUAAUGGGAUGCUUCACUGCAGCAGGCCCUGGAAGGCCUGUGAAGGUAUAGGGCUAAAUGAAUGCAGCAAAAUACAGGGAAAUCCUGGAGGGAAACCUGACAGUCUGCAAGAGAACUGCAACUUGGGAGAAGAUUUGUUUUCCAGCAAGACAAUGACCCCAAGAUAAAGCCAAAACUGUACAGGAAUGGCUUAAAAACAAUAAAGUUAAUGUCCUGGAGUGGCCAAGUUAGAGCCCAGACCAAAAUCCAAUUGAGAAAUUGUGGCUGGUCUUGAAACCUAUUUCUGAUUACUUUCAAUACCUGUUUGUUAAUGCAAAUAUCUAAUCAGCCAAUUAUGUGACAGCAACUCAAUGUAUGGAAGCACACAAAUAUAAUCAAAUGGUUCAGUUAUUCUUCAGACUAAAUAUCAGAAUGGAGAAGAAAUGUGAUCCAAGUAACUUUGACUGUAGAAUUAUAGUUGGUGCCAGAUGGGGUGGUUUGAGUAUUUUAGAAACUGCUGAUCUCCUGGGAUUUUCACACAUGACAGUCUAUAGAAUUUACCGAGAAUGGUGCAAAAAAACAAAAAAAAAUUAUGGGCAAAAAUACCUUGUCAAUGAGAGAGGACAGAGGAGACUGGUUAUUUUCUCCUUUUUUACUUAGAGAUACAGCACAGAAUAGGCCCUUCCUGCCCAUCAACCCAGCUAUUUAACACUUGCCUAUCACAGGACAAUUUAUAACAACCAAUUAACCUGUAACUGAUAGGCCUUUAGACACUGGGAGGAAACCAGAGCACCCUAAGGAAACCCAUGCACUCACGGAAAAGAGGUAGAAACUUCUUACAGAGAUACCAGAAUUGAACUCUGAACUCCAAUGUCCUGAGCUGUAAUAAUGCAAUGCUACUGUGCCACCCCUUAAGCUAUUUAAGUUGACAGGAAGGCAAAGAUAUUCAAAUAACUACACAUUACAACAGUGAUGGGUAGUAAAGUAUGUCUGAAUGCACAACAAUUCGAACCUUUAAGUAGAUGGAUUACAGGACCAAAAGACCAGACCGGUUUUCACUCCUGUACCUAAUAAAAUGGCCUCUGAGUACAUGUUACCAGCAUACUAGCAAUUAAAAUAAUACAUUUAUUUUUAAACUCCAAAUGAGCAAUAAUGGCCAAUAUGAUAUUUGCAUACAGGUAGAUAAUAGGCUAGGGCAAAAUGUCUCAUUAAUAAGGUUUCCAUAUUAAGCUCUUCUUUGCCAUAUCCAACCCAGUGUAAACCUUGUUAACCAGGGAUCUCAAGAUUUUGUAGUCCCACCCUUGUUCUCUUUGGAAGGCAAUUUGUCCUAAACCCCUGGAACUUCCUUCUUUAAUGCCUCCCACUAAUCCAAGACUAAUUCAUCUUCAAUUAGUUGUUUCAUGUCCAUAUUUGUAAAUCGCUUCUCAGUGUGAUAACAUUGUCCUUACCACAAUUUAGGAUAUUUGCUCCUAUUUAAUGUUUCCUUUCCAUAAUAAUGUUAAAUUUACAUUUAAGUGCCAGGCUUUAGAUGUUUCAGAAAGGACAGGGAGGGAGGCAAGAGAGGUAGGGGAAUGGCACUUGAUCAGAGAUAGUGUCACAGCUGCAGAGAAGGAGGAAGUCAUGGAGAGAUUGUCUACCGAGUCUCUGUGGGUGGAAGUUAGGAACAGGAAGGGGUCAAUAACUCUGCUGGCUGUUUGUUUUUUAUAUAGAUCUCCCAAUAGUAACAGGGAUAGAGGAGCAGACAGGGAGACAGAUUCUGGAACAGGGUUGGUGUGGUGGGAAAUUUUAAUUUCCCAAAUAUUGAUUGGCAUGUCCCCAAAGCAAGGGGUUUAGAUGGCAUGGAGUUUGUAAGGUGUGUUCAGGAAGGUUUCCUGACUCAAUAUGUAGAUAAGCCUACAAGGGAGAAGCUGUACUUGAUCUGAUAUUGGGAAAUGAACCUGGUCAGGUGUUAGAUCUCUCAGUGGGAGAGCAUUUUGGAGAUGGUGAUCACAAUUCUAUCUCCUUUACCAUAGUACUGGAGAGGGAUAGGAAAAGACAAGUUAAGAAAGCAUUUAAUUGGAGUAAGGGGAAAUAUGAGGCUAUCAGGCAGGAACUUGGAGGCAAAAGUUGGGAACAGAUGCUCUCAAGGAAAUGCACGAAAGAAAUGUGGCAAAUGUUCAGAGGAUAUUUGCGUGGAGUUCUUCAUAGGUAUGUUCCAAUGAGACAGGGAAAUGAUGAUAGGGUACAGGAACCAUGGUGUACAAAUGCUGUUGUAAAUCUAGUCAAGAAUAAAAACACUUACAAAAGGUUCAAAAAAAUUAGGUAAUGAUAGAGAUCUAGAAGAUUAUUAGGCUGGCAGGAAGGAGCUUAAGAAUGAAAUUAAGAGAGCCAGAAGGGGCCAUGACAAGGCCUUGGCGGACAGGAUUAAGGAAAACCCCAAGGCAUUCUACAAGUAUGUGAAGAGCAAGAGGACAAGACGUGAGAGAACAGGACCAAUCAAGGGUGACCGUGGAAAAGUGUGUAUGGAACUGCAGCAGAUAGCAGAGGUACUUAAUGAGUACUUUGCUUCAGCAUUCACUACGGAAAAGGAUCUUGAUGAAUGUAGGGAUGACUUACAGCAGACUGAAAAGCUUGAGCAAAUAGAUAUUAAGAAAGAGGAUGAGCUGGAGCUGUUGGAAAGCAUCCAGUUGGAUAAAUCAAUGGGUCCAGAAUAGAUGUACCCCAGGCUACUGUGGGAGGCGAGAGAGGAAAUUGCUGAGCCUCUGGCGAUGAUCUUUGCAUCAUCAAUGGGGACGGGAAGGUUCCGGAAGAUUGAAAGGUUGCAGAUGUUGUUCCCUUAUUCAAGAAAGAGAGUAGCGAUAGCCCAGGAAAUAGAGAUAGACCAGUGAGUUUUACUUCAGUGGUGGGUAAGUUGAUGGAGAAGAUACUGAGAGGCAGGAUUUAUGAACAUUUGGAAAGUCAUUUGAUUAGGAAUAGUCAGCAUGAAAUUCAAAAAGCUUUUGAAGUGUUUUACAAAACUCAUAUAUUCUAAAGUUCCAGGGGGAAGCAUAACCCAAAAAUGACACCUUCCUGAAUUCUCUAGAGUUACCCACUUUAAGCGAAGAACAAAAUAGAACGAUGACUGCUGACAUAACUGUAGUUGAACUAAACGCUGCAAUUAGUAGGCUCAAAUUAAGCAAGUCACCAGGAUCAGAUGGGUAUAUGGCAGAGUGGUACAAAGAAUUUUAAAAUGAAUUAAUUCCUGUUUUACUCCCCACACUGAACUGGGCUCUAAAAAAGGCACUAAUGCCACCCAGUUGGAAGGCAGUGAUAAUCUCAGCUAUAUCAAAAGAAGGCAAGGAUAAAAUGGAAUGCGGGUCAUUUAGACCAAUAUCCAUUCUUAAUGUAGAUUAUAGAUGAUUUACCUCCAACAUGGCCAAAUGAUUAGAAGAAUUUCUACCUAUACUGAUACGUAACAAUCAGACAGGUUUUAUACGACAAUGCCAAGCACAAGACAAUAUACAAAGGACACUUCACAUUAUAGAUCAUAUACAAAAAAAAAUAAAAUCGAAGCAAUAGUGAUAAGCGUGGAUGCUGAAAAGGCAUCUGAUUCGGCUAAUUGCAAUUUUCUUUACAGAGUUUUACAAGACACAAUUAUUAAAACUAUACAGACACUAUAUAACAACCCUACUGCUAGGAUUAAAAUCAAUGGAUAUUUAUCAAAUAGUCUUACCCUAGAAAGGGGCACGAGACAGGGUUGUGCAUGGUCACCGCUACUCUUUGCAUUAUAUCUGGAACCAUUAGCUCAAUGCAUCAGACAAAAUGAAGCUAUCAGGGGAAUUAAUAUUAAAGGGACAGAGCAUAAAUUGGCUUGUUACGUGGAUGACAUUUUGAUCUAUCUAGGGCAACCAA